rnacentral:lncRNA from 10 species
GAAUUACCUAGUUUUAUAUAAAGUUAAAAGGUUCUCUUACAAAGGGGCCCUGGAAUAAAUGAGUCUAGGGCAUUGCUGCUCUAAUUACUAAUUUUUCCUAAGCCCAAGGCUUACCCAUCCCUGGUUCCCAGUGGAAAAAUACCUCUAAGGUAGCCAUGAUGUCCCUAUUUUUCUUCUGUGCUGGGGGUGCAGACAAUUGUUCUAUGAAGUCUAGUCGUUGGAACAUGAUUGCCCCAAUGUGAAGCAAACGUGCCACCACCAUGUCACUUUGUGGAGUUAUCAGAGUUCACCCACCCCAGUGGAUCGAAACUCACAGAAAUUGAUCAGGAAAGGCAGGAGAAGCAACAAGCACAUAUUAAGAUGAGCUGAAGAUAGUGCCACGGGUGGGUGGACACCCAGUACCUGUCCCCGAAAUGAUGAAUGUCAACACCUGCACACAGUGGGGGCUUUGGUUUACUCAGGUCUCCCAAGGUAGCCAGAUCGCUGGCAGGAUUCUGAAUUUGUUAGGGUGGUUAAGUGGGUAAAAAUGAAACACCAAAGACCUGUGUAUCAUCCGCCCUGACGAUGCAGAGGGCUUGUGCCCUGGGCCAGGCCAUAGCCCGUCAGGCCCCCGAGGCCUCCUACCCCGAUGAUCCCCAUGGUUCUCAAGUCAUCCCUUGACAAUUCUCAUUUGGAACCCACUGUUAGGCACUUUUCAUGUGUCAAUUAAUUUAAUGGACAGGUACUGGACUAGAUGAGGUUAUGCCCAUUUCAAGACAGAGAAACUGAGGCUUUCAGAGGUGGUAUGACUUGGCCAAGGUCACACAGCACGUAGGAGAGGCUAUCCCCAAACUCAGGAUGGUCAGAUUUGAAGCCUGCCCUUGUUUUUUCUUUCUUUUUGAGACAGAGUCUCACUGUGUCGCCCACACUGGAGUGCAGUGGCGCGAUCUCAGCUCACUGAAACCUCAGCCUUCUGGGUUCAAGCAAUUCUUGUGCCUCAGCCCCCCAGGUAGCUGGGAUUACAGGUGCCCACCACCACGCCUGGCUAAUUUUUGUAUUUUAAAUAGAAAUGGGUUUUCACCAUGUUGGCCAGGCUGAUCUCGAACUCCUGACCUCAAGUGAUCCGCCCACCUCUGCCUCCCAAAGUGCUGGGAUUACAGGUGUGAGCCACUGGGUCUGGCCUCUAAAGCCUGGCCUCUUUCUAAUGAGAACACACCUGUCUCCUGAAGUUUCUUCAUGCUGGCCCAGCUUUGCCCCUCGGGGUCCCCAGGACCCCGGCCUCCUUCACGUUGCAACUCGCCGACAUGGUGAAUCUGGCACUGACAUUCUCAGGGGACUUGCUCAGCCCUUUACUCGCCCGGGCUGAAGAUUUUUACAGGGACCCACCCACCUCUGGAGCCCUCUGGUUUGUCACUGCACAGUAAGGUACUGACCUAAGCAGUCAGCCCUUCCCACACCCCUAGAGGGGGCUUCAGGAAAGCUGAGGGUAUCACCUUCUCCAGCUGUCCCUGGAACUCAGUCAUAAGACACACCUAUCGGCCGGGCGCGGUGGCUCACACCUGUAAUCCCAGCACUUUGGGAAGCUGAGGUUUGGCGGUUCAUGAGGUCAGGAGAUCAAGACCAUCCUGGCUAACACGGUGAAACCCCCUUUCUACCAAAAAUACAAACAAUUAGCCAGGUGUGGUGGCACAUGCCUGUAGUCCCAGCUACUUGGGAAGCUGAGACAGGAGAAUCGCUUGAACCCAGGAGGCAGAGGUUGCAGAGAGCCACCACUGCACUCCAGCCUGGGCGACAGAGCGG